GGAUCACCUCCCUCACCUUGCUGGCCAUACCGCUUUUAGUGCAGCCCAGGAUACUGUUGCCUUUCUGGGCUGUGGUUGCUGCCAAUGUGGUUUAUGAAAGAGGGUCCCUUGCAUGGCUGGACAAGACGCUCACCCGGGGAUGGAGCCCAUCGGCGAGCAGCCCAGGAGGAGGCAAAGGGGUUGGGAGGCGGGUGGCGCCGAGGGGGAGGAGGAAGAGGCAUUGAGGGCAGUUCCGGCAGCGGGGCGGGGGCGGCUGCGGCACAACGGAGGUGAACUGCGCUCAAGCCGUGCCAAGACGAACUGAGCCGAGCCGGGCUGAACCGGGCUGCUCCGAGCUGUGCCGAUCCGAUCCGCACGGAGCCGACAUUCGCUGCGCGGACAGCAGUUGUACACAUGGGCUGUGGGAUAUCAGGAGGCAGGGGACAGAAGCAGAGACCCUAGCCAUCUCUGUUGGCAUCCACUCAUAAGGACAGUUCCUGACAGCUGCAAGAAGACUGUAAGGUGUGUUGAGUUAUGCUAAUGUUCAGGUCUCCACCAUCCAUGCAAACAGAUCUUUUCAGGGUAAGAAUCUGUCUUUUUGUUUGGAAGAUGCCGGUCAGGAGUUAGGGGAAAGUUCAUACCGUAUCUCUGUCAUUCCUGAUUUCUUUCUGUCUUGGGAAAACCGAUCCUCAAAUAAUGAAUUGAUUUGGUAUGCACAAUUUGGCCUCAAAAAGAGACAAAGUUAGGAGACCAGCUUCUCAAAUCUGGAAAUAUUUCCCUUUCCCUUCCAGUUGGUCCUCAUUCAGUAAAUUGCCAUCUUUUUUCUGCAUCAUAUGUGCCCCCAUUUUCAUUCAGUGAAACACAGAAGCAUCAAUGUUUCUACAGGCAGUUGUCUUCAGUGCAGUUCUGCUCACUUCGAGCCUUCCUCUCUCCUUAACCAUGAUUGAUUAAGGAUAUUAAGGACUUUAUUACUUCCUAAUAUCAUCCAGGAAGGAUUUCCAUAUGUUGCAUUGUUCACCAGAGUGAGCAUAACUCCCUUAUGCCAAAGAAGGUGGGUGUAUGCUGAAAACUGAGUAAGCUGCAUUUGUUUUUUUAUUGGAGGAGAGGUUGCAGGUGGCCCUUUAUUAAAGGAUGCAUUUCAUCCUCUAUUUUCAGAUACCUUACAGUAGUACCCUUUCCACUGGGAAGUUAAGCAGACACUCUCUGUACCUAUUGCAGCUGCUUCUAGUGUUAUAUUAAACUGCUGCUAUUACAGUGAGAUGUUUCUGGAGCUGAGUGUGUCAUUCCUUAAUUGUUUAUGGCUGUGGAUUUGAGCCAAGUAGCAGUUCUGUAGUGGCAAAUGCUGGAGAGAUGACCUGGAAAACAGAUGUUUGGGCCAGAGCCAAGGUGGUUUCAGGAAAGACAGUGAGAGAGAAGCAGGAAGCUGAUUAUCUGUCUGAUUUAUUAGACAGAGUGAAGAAAUUAACUCCAGGGCAGAGCACUCACACAAGGCUGGUAUAACACUAAAUUUUGGGUUUAGACAGGUUUUAGCCAGCUUUUGCAAGGCUUAUACGAGCAGCUGUUGGUUUCCUAGAGCUAGCACGGAAUGAGCCAAACCUACAUGCUUUGCAGCUGGGAGGAAAUGCUUGCCUGUUUCAUGGUGGCUACUGAACAUCUCACGUGGUAGCCUAGUUUGUGUGAAAUCCUAACACAAGUCUUGCAGCUCUGCUACAGUGCAGUGGACUUUCUGAAAGUUGUAAUGUCUUGGGAAACAUGAUCAAAAAUACAUCUCUGCCAUGGAAGUGUUACAUGUGAACUGAUUGUACCCAGUCGGCCCCUUUGCUCUCAAAGAUGUGAAAGAGAUUCAGCAUACACAACAGAGGGAUCUAAAAUGAGUCCAGUUCACCAUGGGGUGCUGGUUUCUCUCUGUUCCUUUGUCAGAAGCCCAGAUAACUGUUCCCAUGGAGACACCAUUGACGUGGACAUUUAGG
ensembl:lncRNA